CUGUGAUAGUCAUGAGCCACGGUUAAGCUUGAUGCUACUUCUUUGUUUCUUUGUUUUUUUUUGUUAUUGAAAAGUAAUGGAUAGUUUCUGAAUUCUAAAAAGUGAGUCUAUAGAAUAAAUCAGAGAUUGAUUUAUGAAUUAUUGAUUAUGUAAUUAGAGCACUGAGUGAUUGAAUUAUAUGAGGAGUUAUUAGAAGAUUAUGAUUGUUGUUUAUUGAGAGGUGUUUGUCUUUUGACAGAGGAAGUUUGUAAUUACAAAAAUUAUGUGAAUUCAGAUUAGUUGGAAUGAAGUUUGUUAUUCUUGGUGUCGGAUGGAAAUUAUGUGUUUUGAAUGGUCUUUUGAGAGUGCAAAGUUGUACACUAUUGUUAUUAGGUGAUGAAGGAAUAUUAUUUUUAGGAGAAAGCAUUGUAGUUUUUCUUAGUGUUUCAGUGGUUUGGAGUAUGGUUAUAUGUGUGAUCCUAACGAUUAAAACUCAUGGACUUAGUCUUUCUUUGUGUUCAAAUUUUCCAAUACAGGUUUAUUCUGAAAUGAAUUAUAUA
rnacentral:lncRNA from 1 species